GAUGAACGCUGGCGGCGUGCCUAAUACAUGCAAGUCGAGCGAACAGACGAGGAGCUUGCUCCUCUGACGUUAGCGGCGGACGGGUGAGUAACACGUGGAUACCCUACCUAUAAGACUGGGAUAACUUCGGGAAACCGGAGCUAAUACCGGAUAAUAUAUUGAACCGCAUGGUUCAAUAGUGAAAGACGGUUUUGCUGUCACUUAUAGAUGGAUCCGCGCCGCAUUAGCUAGUUGGUAAGGUAACGGCUUACCAAGGCAACGAUGCGUAGCCGACCUGAGAGGGUGAUCGGCCACACUGGAACUGAGACACGGUCCAGACUCCUACGGGAGGCAGCAGUAGGGAAUCUUACGCAAUGGGCGAAAGCCUGACGGAGCAACGCCGCGUGAGUGAUGAAGGUCUUCGGAGCGUAAAACUCUGUUAUUAGGGAAGAACAAAUGUGUAAGUAACUAUGCACGUCUUGACGGUACCUAAUCAGAAAGCCACGGCUAACUACGUG
rnacentral:rRNA from 1 species